AACGCACAUUGCGCCCCUUGGUAUUCCAUGGGGCAUGCCUGUUCGAGCGUCAUCUACACCCUCAAGCUCUGCUUGGUGUUGGGCGUCUGUCCCGCCUCUGCGCGUGGACUCGCCCCAAAGGCAUUGGCAGCGGUCUUUUGCACCUCUCGCGCAGCACAUUGCGCUUCUCGAGGCGACGAAGGCAGCGACCACAAAGCCACAUUACCGUCUUUGACCUCGGAUCAGGUAGGGAUACCCGCUGAACUUAA
rnacentral:misc_RNA from 1 species